rnacentral:tRNA from 1 species
GGAGAGAUGGCUGAGUGGUUGAUAGCUCCGGUCUUGAAAACCGGUAUAGUUCUAGAAACUA